rnacentral:rRNA from 1 species
CUUGUCGGGUAAGUUCCGACCUGCACGAAUGGUGUAACGAUCUGGGCGCUGUCUCAACGCGGGACUCGGUGAAAUUGAAGUAUCGGUGAAGAUGCCGAUUAUCCAUGGCUAGACGGAAAGACCCCGUGAACCUUUACUGUAGCCUGGCAUAGGCACUUGGCCUGUGAUGUGUAGGAUAGGUGGGAGGCUGCGAACUCUGGUCGUUAGGCUGGAGGGAGCCGUUGGUGAAAUACCACCCUUUACAGGUUAGGUUUCUAACGCUCGCCGUGAAGCCGGCGAGUGGACAGUGUCAGGUGGGCGGUUUGACUGGGGCGGUCGCCUCCUAAAGAGUAACGGAGGCGCGCAAAGGUCACCUCGCGCUGGUUGGAAAUCAGCGUACGAGUGCAAAGGCAAAAGGUGGCUUGACUGCGAGACCUACAAGUCGAGCAGGUGCGAAAGCAGGUCUUAGUGAUCUGGUGGUUGCGAGUGGAAGCGCCAUCACUAAACGGACAAAAGGUACUCCGGGGAUAACAGGCUAAUAGUGCCCAAGCGUCCAUAGCGACGGCACUGUUUGGCACCUCGAUGUCGGCUCAUCGCAUCCUGGGGCUGGAGCAGGUCCCAAGGGUUUGGCUGUUCGCCAAUUAAAGCGGUACGUGAGCUGGGUUCAGAACGUCGUGAGACAGUUCGGUCCCUAUCUGCCAUGGGCGUUGGUUGCUUGAGAGGAGCUGCUUCUAGUACGAGAGGACCGAAGUGGACGAACCGCUGGUGUACCAGUUAUGCCGCCAGGUGUAACCGCUGGGUAGCCAUGUUCGGAAGGGAUAACCGCUGAAAGCAUCUAAGUGGGAAGCCCCCCUCAAGAUUAGGCAACCCUGGCCCGUCAAGGGCCCUGAAGGUACCAGAGAGACUAUCUGGUUGAUAGGCUGGAGGUGGAAGCGCAGUAAUGCGUUGAGCCGACCAGUACUAAUUUACCGUGAGGCUUGACCAU